UACGGAGGGAGCUAGCGUUGUCCGGAAUUAUUGGGCGUAAAGAGCUCGUAGGCGGUUUGUCGCGUCGAAUGUGAAAACCCGGGGCUCAACCCCGGGCCUGCAUUCGAUACGGGCAGACUAGAGUUCGGUAGGGGAGACUGGAAUUCCUGGUGUAGCGGUGAAAUGCGCAGAUAUCAGGAGGAACACCGGUGGCGAAGGCGGGUCUCUGGGCCGUAACUGACGCUGAGGAGCGGAAGCAUGGGGAGCGAACAGG
rnacentral:rRNA from 1 species